rnacentral:lncRNA from 1 species
UACCUUUGGCCGGGUAUAAAAUGCUCUGGCAGCGUGAGGUUGAUCGUUGUAUCAUCACUAUAGCUCUUAUGUGAUGGUUGUCGGUUAGAGAAACUCCCACAGCAGUUAUUGUAUUUCUAUAUACAUCAGUUCAUUUGUAUUUCUACAUACAUCUCAGAUUUAUUGUAUCUUUGCAUACACACAAAGUUUAUAGCAUGUUUUAAACAGCUUUUCUUUAUAUUACACUUGCUUUAAAUUGCUUUAUAAUGAAAUGAG